rnacentral:rRNA from 1 species
GAUGAACGCUGGCGGCGUGCCUAAUACAUGCAAGUCGAGCGAACAGACGAGGAGCUUGCUCCUCUGACGUUAGCGGCGGACGGGUGAGUAACACGUGGAUAACCUACCUAUAAGACUGGGAUAACUUCGGGAAACCGGAGCUAAUACCGGAUAAUAUAUUGAACCGCAUGGUUCAAUAGUGAAAGACGGUUUGCUUUUACUUAUAGAUGGAUCCGCGCCGCAUUAGCUAGUUGGUAAGGUAACGGCUUACCAAGGCGACGAUGCGUAGCCGACCUGAGAGGGUGAUCGGCCACACUGGAACUGAGACACGGUCCAGACUCCUACGGGAGGCAGCAGUAGGGAAUCUUCCGCAAUGGGCGAAAGCCUGACGGAGCAACGCCGCGUGAGUGAUGAAGGUCUUCGGAUCGUAAAACUCUGUUAUUAGGGAAGAACAAAUGUGUAAGUAACUAUGCACGUCUUGACGGUACCUAAUCAGAAAGCCACGGCUAACUACGUG